rnacentral:rRNA from 1 species
CUGGUAUAAAUGGUUUUACUAUUUAGAUUGUUUUAAGUUUAUGCUUUUAAUUUAGAGUUUAUGUAAAAAUACAUAAAUAAAUUAGAAAGACGAUAAGACCCUAAAAGCUUUAUUUUUAUUGUAGGUCUUAGUAGUAAUCUUUAAUUUUAAAUUUUUAAUUGGGGUAAUUUUUAUUUUAUGUUAAUUUUAAUAACUAAGGAGAGGGUGUAGUACCUUUAAAUAAAGGUGUUUUUAAGUUACUUUAGGGAUAACAGCGUUAUUAUUUUGGAGAGAACACAUCUAUAGAAUAGUUUACGACCUCGAUGUUGAAUUAAUAUAAUCUGUGCGUAGCAAUAUAUGCUGGAGAUGGUUUGUUCAACCUUUAAUUUAUUACAUGAUUU